UACGAAGGGGCUAGCGUUGUUCGGAAUCACUGGGCGUAAAGGGCGCGUAGGCGGCUUUGUAAGUCGGGGGUGAAAGCCUGUGGCUCAACCACAGAAUUGCCUUCGAUACUGCAUGGCUUGAGACCGGAAGAGGUAAGUGGAACUGCGAGUGUAGAGGUGAAAUUCGUAGAUAUUCGCAAGAACACCAGUGGCGAAGGCGGCUCACUGGCCCGGUACGUGACGCUGAGGUGCGAAAGCGUGGGGAGCAAACAGG
rnacentral:rRNA from 1 species